rnacentral:rRNA from 1 species
UACGGGGGGAGCAAGCGUUGUUCGGAUUUACUGGGCGUAAAGGGCGCGUAGGCGGUAGCACAAGUCAGUUGUGAAAUCUCCGGGCUUAACUCGGAAAGGUCAACUGAUACUGUGCGACUAGAGUGCAGAAGGGGCAACUGGAAUUCUCGGUGUAGCGGUGAAAUGCGUAGAUAUCGAGAGGAACACCGGUGGCGAAGGCGGCCAACUGGUCCGGAUCUGACGCUGAGGCGCGAAAGCGUGGGGAGCAAACAGG